GCGGAGGAAAAGAAACCAACAGGGAUUGCCCUAGUAACGGCGAGUGAAGCGGCAACAGCUCAAAUUUGAAAUCUGGCGUCUUUGGCGUCCGAGUUGUAAUUUGCAGAGGGCGCUUUGGCAUUGGCAGCGGUCCAAGUUCCUUGGAACAGGACGUCACAGAGGGUGAGAAUCCCGUACGUGGUCGCUAGCCUUUACCGUGUAAAGCCCCUUCGACGAGUCGAGUUGUUUGGGAAUGCAGCUCUAAAUGGGAGGUAAAUUUCUUCUAAAGCUAAAUACUGGCCAGAGACCGAUAGCGCACAAGUAGAGUGAUCGAAAGAUGAAAAGCACUUUGGAAAGAGAGUUAAAAAGCACGUGAAAUUGUUGAAAGGGAAGCGCUUGCAGCCAGACUUGCCUGUAGUUGCUCAUCCGGGUUUCUACCCGGUGCACUCUUCUAUAGGCAGGCCAGCAUCAGUUUGGGCGGUUGGAUAAAGGUCUCUGUCAUGUACCUCUCUUCGGGGAGAACUUAUAGGGGAGACGACAUGCAACCAGCCUGGACUGAGGUCCGCGCAUCUGCUAGGAUGCUGGCGUAAUGGCUGUAAGCGGCCCGUCUUGAAACACGGACCAAGGAGUCUAACAUCUAUGCGAGUGUUUGGGUGUCAAGCCCGAGCGCGUAAUGAAAGUGAACGGAGGUGGGAACCUUUCGGGGUGCACCAUCGACCGAUCCUGAUGUCUUCGGAUGGAUUUGAGUAAGAGCAUAGCUGUUGGGACCCGAAAGAUGGUGAACUAUGCUUGAAUAGGGUGAAGCCAGAGGAAACUCUGGUGGAGGCUCGCAGCGGUUCUGACGUGCAAAUCGAUCGUCAAAUUUGGGCAUAGGGGCGAAAGACUAAUCGAACUAUCUAGUAGCUGGUUCUGC
rnacentral:sRNA from 1 species